AGAAUUUUCCACUGAAAAAAUCAUGAAAUGCUGCGGUAAAUCUACAAAACUACAAUAAAGAUUAACAACUGCUGAUACAUUUAAACGUAAAUUAUGCCAAAAGGUAGGCUUUUCAAUGUCUUUGUAAUAAUUUUCCAGUAAAGAAAGUGAACCAAACAGUCAUUCGUUAUUCGUGUUUUCCUCGUCAUCUCUCAUUUGUCAACAUAAGUUUCUUGCAUCAAAGAUGCAAUAAUCAUUCCGCAUAGGCAAUGCAAUAAUUGUGAAGCCCCAAAAUUCGUACAACGCUCAAAAUAUCCGAAUAAACAUUUUCCCGCCAUUUAUGGUUACUGUUUUCGACCUAGCUCAGUGGCGCCCCCAACGGUAAUUUUACUUCCGAAUACUAAAGUAGCGACACGGACCUUGACAGGGCAACAAUAACGAUUAUACACUCUAGAGAGGGCGCAACUAUCGAAAUUCGACAUAUACCGCAUUAUUUACAUAAAAUGCCUAGCAUUGAAAAGCCUUAGUAAGUGCGUUUUGUCUCUGUUUCUACGUUUAAUCUUCACUAAAUGAAAUUGCUAAAGGGGAUGCUCAAAAGAGAUAUUAGUUAAAGGUCACAUUAGAUGAUAGAUUUAAAUCGAGAAUGUAUUUAUACAGGCAGUUUAGUUUUCCAAGGCUCGACAUUUUUUGUAAUAACGCUGUAAUUUUAAAGGUUCGUCAAAUUGUCAGUAAUUUUGAACAUACGUCAAAACUGUCAAGAUUCUCUCACUUUUGAAAAAUUGGUAAAGAGUACAGUGAUUCUGGUGGUUAUUGGUUAUGAACAGAUUCCAUGGAACUUUCAAACCUGUGCUUCAAUCACGUAAAUAAUAAAUCGACACCAUAAACAUUAAACAAACGAGCCUCCAGACUGUUCAAAGUCGUCCACAUUACGAAGCACGUCUGUGUGAGGAUACUGGAAACUCAUUCAAACAAAAAUUGUUUAAGAAAUGUAAUGUGUAUUUCAGGUAGAUUUAAACAAUACUUCCUUGAAAAUUCAUUCUGUAUUAUUAGAUUCCGCCCUAAUGGGAAGGAAUUUAAAACUGCUCUGCUUACACUGACCUUCGUUUCACAAAAUUUAAGGCAUCUAAAUCUGGGAAUUGUAGCGCAUCGAAGUUUGGUGGACUUUUUAUAGCCACUUAUUCACAACAACUAUGUUAUACAAAACUUAAAUAAUAAAGAGAAAUUCAGGUUGUA